AUACUUUCCUGGCAGGGGAGAUACCAUGAUCACAAAGGUGGCUUUCCCAGGGCAAGGCUUAUCCAUUGCACUCCAGAUAUGCUGACCCCUCUGAUAUCCCCAAAUGUGGGAAACUCGACUGCAUAAUUUGUGGUAGUGGGGGACUGCAUUCGCACUUUCCCCUG
ensembl:snRNA U1 U1 spliceosomal RNA